CGAACGCUGGCGGCAGGCCUAAUACAUGCAAGUCGAACGGCUCUUCGGAGCAGUGGCGGACGGGUGAGUAACGCGUGGGAAUGUGCCCUUAGGUACGGAACAACACAGGGAAACUUGUGCUAAUACCGUAUGUGCCCUUCGGGGGAAAGAUUUAUCGCCUUUGGAGCAGCCCGCGUUGGAUUAGGUAGUUGGUGAGGUAAAGGCUCACCAAGCCGACGAUCCAUAGCUGGUCUGAGAGGAUGACCAGCCACACUGGGACUGCGACACGGCCCAGACUCCUACGGGAGGCAGCAGUAGGGAAUCUUGCGCAAUGGGCGAAAGCCUGACGCAGCCAUGCCGCGUGUAUGAUGAAGGUCUUAGGAUUGUAAAAUACUUUCACCGGGGAAGAUAAUGACGGUACCCGGAGAAGAAGCCCCGGCUAACUUCGUGCCAGCAGCCGCCGUAAAAC
rnacentral:rRNA from 1 species